rnacentral:siRNA from 1 species
UUUGAAUUGAAGUGCUUGAAU